rnacentral:misc_RNA from 1 species
AUCGAACUGUUUGCCCGGCGGUCGCUCAGUCGCGGCCCGUAGGAAUUUUUCCCGGCGGGCGAGGAUGGGUUCCUGUGUUGCAUACCCGCGUAGCGGAAUUCUUUACUGUUGCCGAACAUCGACUUCUUCCCGUGCCUCCCGUAGGCACGUGAUGAACCGCGCAGUGCGUCCCGUGUCCCUCGCAUGUCGAAUCGUCUGCGUUGGCCCGCGGGACCGCGCUCGUGCUCUCGGAUGCGGAAGACCGUGCGAGCAGAGGGAUUAAGUUUCCUCGUUGAGCUCGUAGUCCCUCGAAGCAAAUACGACCGGCCCGCCCGUGUCGCAUCCUCGGGGGGUCCCCC